UGUAGUUUUGUAGUUUUCACAUUGGCUAGUUAUUUGUGAUGGGGAUGUGUAUCCAAUUAUUUUCAUUGUCAGCACACAUUUUCGUGAUAUAAUAUGUACUGAGGCUCAUUUGUUAUUAUUUUCACUUGUCAAACGGAGGACGGUUCGAUGUCUGUGGCUAAAACAGUGACCAUCACCGUGAAGGGUUCAUGGCUGUUUUGGAUCUAUAUAGCUUCAGGAGUUGUUGGUGCUAUAGCAAUAAUCUUCAUAAUUGUGGUAAUCUACUGCAUCCACAAAAGAGGGCAAUAUAUAAAACUGUCCUACUGGAGUCAAGGAGUGAGGGGAGGAAGAGAAUCGUGUGCCACGUCGGGGCAUGGCACGGGGGAUGACGCCACAGAAGUACUUCAAGUUUGUCUCUUCAGAAGACCUUUCAUCGCCAUUAUCAGCCAAGAUCAAUCCGCUACUGGAUGAAGGCUUCCCAAGCUGCCACCAUUCCUCAGGGUAUUGCGUGACCCAACGCUACAAGGAAUAACUGCAUGUCAAUCAUUUCGUGUCUACCAUGACUUGACGCUUGGUGGCAUGGCUUAUCUAUUUACAUGUCAAUAUUUAAUACACCUGAGCUGGGGUAAUACUAUGUUAAGUCUUGGGGAACCAUUUACUGCCACAAUAAACACAUUAAUGGCCCUCUUUUGGCAGUCACAGUGCAAUGGUUGAGGUUUGUCUUUGGAGCCUCGAGAUCUCAGCUCAGCUGCUCCCCAAUUCUUCACUGCAGAAGAAGCAUUCAAAGCUGCAGCUUUAAUCUCAUUACCACUACACAAAUCAUUUGAAUGUAUUUAGUAGUUGGCAGGUGAACUACUGGUAUCACUUAAAUAAAGCUUUGCUCCUUGACCUGAGCCUCAUACUGACAGUGAAGUGAAAUGCUCAAACAGAAAACAGUUACAUAUAUUUUCACAUCAUGUUUGCAUGUUUUGCCACAAGUAUGUGUGGUUAAUGCAGACUUGAUGAUUUGCAAUCGGUAUCUAUAACACUAUCUGUUUUAUUGCCAGGAAGGGGAAAGGGUAAAAUAAAUUUUUCUAUCAGCUCCAGGAUCUCUACAUUUGCCCUCCAAGUGCUGCCCUCUAGCUGGCAAGAUACGAGCGCGUUUUGCUCGUAAAUAUAAGUGCUGGUAUUUUUUUUAAUGUUGGGGUUUACGCGCAUGUGUACAAUGGGAUGAGACGAUUGAUUUUUCGAUUUUUAGGUUUUAUUUAUUUCAGCAGGCAGGGCCCAAUUAGGGGCCGUCCAUAAAUGACGUCA